ensembl:lncRNA
GAUCUUUUAAAGUAUGAUGUAAAAAUAGCAAGGAGGGAAGUCUGCUCACCACACAGCAGAUAUACAGGGCAGACUGAGUGUAAGCUGGUAAAAGUUAACUGCAGAAACAAACUGAAGACAGACAGACAGAGAGACAGACAGACAGACAGGUAUCGUAAAGAUUAGAGACAGACAGGCUCAGAGAUAGUCAGACAGACAGACAGGCAGUGAACACAUGCUGUCGUUCACCUUAAUGUAAACUGAUUUUGGUCACAGCAGGGGAUGUAAACAGAGACAAGAGAGAGACAAAGAGGCAUCAGAGUGACGCCUGGCGUGUUGUGUCACAGUUAGUUUUCAACACUGCACUGAGAACUGGACCAAAACUGGACAAUACAUUCAUCUAUCUGUCUUGUAUUGUAGCAACAGGAUGUUGUCAAAAAAGGAGGAGAAGAGGACGUUCAGCAAUGGGCCUCUGAGAGACCAAUGGGAGAAGAAAGCUCAGAACGUGGCGGACCAGUGCAAACAGGAGGCCGAUUGGAAGGAGAAAAGUUCCAAAGUAUCUUUAUCCAAGUGGAAUUAUCACUGGUCACUCGUUUCCACUGGAGACUUCAAGAGGCUCACCAGCGGCGCAGAUGAAGCGGAAAAAAACAAGCCGAAAAUCAAAUUCAAAGUCGUUCCCCCUCCUCCCAAACCCAUACAUGCGCCUGCUCCUCCUCCACCUCCUCCCAGGAAAACAGCUUUGCCCAAAUCUCUCAGGCCAAAACGUAAAGUUGAAGUGGAUGUGUUCAGCCUUUGCUGGAGAGACUCCUGGAUGAGCCUGAAGCCUCCAAAGUAUCUUUUCCUGAAGGCUAAAGAGACAAAAACCAGAACCCCAGGAUUCACAACCAGAGAGCUGACUAACAACAGGGAGUACAAACCAAAGGGCUUCGGAUCAGAGGCCGAAUGGGCAUCUCCUGCUGAUAAAUGGAGUCACUCCUGGAAACAGAUGAAGAGUCCUGCCCAGUUGGAGUGCUCUGAGGACAAACAUUUCCAGUGGGAGAUUCUGUUUGAAAGGAAACCGGUUUGCAAAGCUGAGAUGGAAAUAUUCUCUCUUCCUACCUGGGCCGGUACUUGGAAGUUCAUAAACUUUGCCUUCAGACAGCAGAAAAAGAACUGGGAUGGAAUCUGGCCUAAUUACCAACAAAACCUCAGUAAUAAGUUUGACGAAGUACAACAACUUGAUGAGCAGGAGAAGCCCUCAGACUGGGGGGAAUCAUGGAAAAUGUCCGACGCAGAACUUGAACCAAGGGACACCACAGAUGAUGAGACACCAACAGCAAGCCCCUCGAGCAAUGAAACCACAUUGAUGAUGAGGAUAAACGAUGUGUUCCUGCCCGCGUGGAGUGACUCCUGGCUGCUCUGUGCAGUGUCUCUGGAGGAAGAAGAAGAACGUCACAAGAACUGGAACUCCUGCUGGGGAUACAGGCAGCAGAUCAGGUGGUGCAAGGCUUCUCUGGAGUCCCAUCACCGACACAGCGCCAUGCUGACCAGGAGACGUAAAGCCACAAACCUCCACCUCACAUCACAGCUGGACGAUGAGCUCACAGAUAGCACAGAGUGGACGGUGGCCUGGAGGUCUCCUAAAAGAUGGAUCAAACCACCGGAGGAGGAAGAAGACGAGAUGUUGGAUUACACAGUGGAGGUGGAGGAGGAGGAGAAUGAGGAGGAGGAGGAAGAGGAAGAGGAGGUGGAGAAUGAGGAGGAGGAGGUAGAGGAGGUGGAGAAUGAGGAAGAGGAGGUGGAGGAGAAGGAGGAGGAGGAUGAAGGAGUGGCCAAAGAGGAGGAUGUAAUAAUAGAUGAGGAAGAGGAGCAGGAUGAAGGAGUAGAGGAGGAGGAGGAGAGGGACAGAGAAGUACACAAGAAAAAGGAAGACAAAGAAAUGAACAAGAAGGAGGAUGAAGAAGAUAAGGAGGAGGAUGAAGGAGUAGAAGAGGAGAAGGAAGAAAAGGAUGAUGAAGAAUUCGACAACAAGGAGGAGGACAAAGAGGAGGAGGACACAGUAAACAAGAUGAACGACGAGGAAGAAGUACGUGAGGAGGAGGAGGAGGAGGACAAAGGUGUGAAUAAAGAAGAGGAAAGUGAAGAAAAAGACGAAGAGGAGGAGGAUGAGGAAGAAAACAAGGACGAGAGGGAUGUAGAAGAACACAAAGAGAAGGAAUACAAAGAAGUGGACAAGAAGGAAGAUGAAGGACUACUUGAGGUGGAGGAGAAAGAAGAGGAUGAUGAAGAUGUCGAUAACGAGGAGAAGGACAAAGAAGUACACAAGGAGGAGGAUGAAUCAGUAAACAAGAAGAACGAAAAGGGAGAAGUACAUGAGGAGGAGGACGAAGAUGUGGAUAAGGAGAAAGAAAGCGAAGGAGAAGAUGAAGAGGAGGAGGACAAAGCAUUAGAUGAGGGGAAGGAGGAAAAUAAUAAAAUGAAGGGGAAGGAUAAUUACAAUAAAGUGCAUAAGGAGGAUGCAGACGAGGAUGAGGUGGAUGAGGAGGAAGAACAUAAGGAGGAGAGGGACAAACAAUUAAAUAAGAAUGAGGAGGACAAAAACAUGCACAAAAAUGGUGAGGAGGAUGAAGAGGAGGAGGACUAUAAAGAAGUACAUGUGGACAAAGAAGUAGACAAUGAAGAGGAAGAGAAGGAUGAAGUAAAGGAAGAGGAGGAAAAAGAUUUAGACAAGGAGGAUGAGGACAAAGAAGCAAACGAGGACGACGAAGAAAUAGACGAGAAGGACGACGAGGAAGAGUUGGACAAAGAGUGGGAAGAGAAAGAAGUAGACAAAGAGGAGGAACAGGAGCACCAAGAAGUAGACGAGGAGGAGGACAAAGCAGACACUGAGGUGAAAGAUAAGGAAGGAGAUGAAGAGGAGGAUAGUGUAGAUAGAGGAGAAGAGGUUGAAGAGGUAGAUGAAGAGAAAGAGAAAGAAGAGGACAAAGAAGAUGAAGCAGACAAAGACCAGGAGAAAGAAGAAGACAAUAAAGAAGUGGACGAGGAAGAGGAUGAUACAGUAGACAGAGAGGUGGAGGAUGAAGAAGGAGAAGACAAGGAGGCAGGGGAGACUGACAAAGAAGACGCUGAAGUAGAGGAGAUGAUGGUCAAAAAAGAGGAGGAAGAUGACCAUGAGGAAGUAGACAAGAAAGAGGAGGACAACAGAGUAAAAAAGCGGAUCAAACGCAAACCUGAUGUCCCACCCCAUCUGCAGUUCCAUACACUGAACACCUCCUUCUCCUCCUGGAAGCUGUCAUGGAUGGUGGCGUUUCCUCACAGAGGAGGAGAUCGAGAGGAGGAGGAGGAGCAAGAGGGGGAGGUAGAAGAGUUGCAGGCUUGGAAAGAGUCGUGGAGGAUUUGUCGCUGGAAAAAAACGAACGAGGACGAGGUGGUGUGUUUCUCCACUGAGCACCGGAGUCGGAGAUACAUGGGACUGAUGCAUGAAGAAGACGCUAUGCCAAAGAGCGAAUGGACUCUAAGCUGGAAGAUGAGUAACACAGCAGAAAAGGAUGUAGAUGCUGAGGAAGAAGAAGAAGAGAAAGAGGAGGAGGAAGAAGAAGAAGAAGAAGAAAGUUGAAAUUCUCUGAUAGCUCAAAGAUUCUGAUUUGUAAAGUACAUUGAUAUUUGUUUUAAUGUUGUAGGCCAGGGAAGGUAGAUGAGCUGGGUAUAGAAACUUAAUACUUAUGACUGAGUUAAAAAUGUGUCCGUAGAACCAAAAGCUGGCAUUGAAGAGUCUUGAGGCGCUUUCAGAUGCAAGGGAUCGUGCUGCUUCCCAGCAUUGGACGCUUGAUGCGCGUGCCACUAGGCCGUGUCCCGAUAGAUGAUUGUCAGGUGUGGUCCUUCCCUGAAACAGGAAACCAAUACACAAAAGAAUGUUUUAGCAUUGGAGCAUUGGAGGGAUAGUAGUAGUGUAUUAAUACAGGACUGUUUGCACAGCCCACUGUUGUAUGCCAUGGACAGAAAAAGUUGUAUGUUGACUGUGUUGUAUAAAUGAGCCACCAGAUGGAGACACAGUCUCUGACUCCCUGUGCUGCCUCAGCCUGCAGCUUCCUGGAGCUCCUCAUUUUUUGUGGCAAACAUAUUUUCACUCCAGUGACUGUUUUGUAUUAAAGUGAACUUUUACAGCAUGAAACAUGAGCUUCAUCAGACUUUGAUAUUUCUAGCAGGAUAACUUGUUAUUGUUGAUGUUAGUCUCUUUGGUGGAAUAGUAACAACAUAUAUGUGAAACUGCAGUUACUCACGGUUCAAGCUUGUUUUUCAAAACUAUUCAUAAUGGCUGUUUCUGAUACUGUUAUUUAAGUCAUCAAUCAGUGUAAAUUAGACGAUGUUUGCUGACGGCCAAUUUUGGGGUACAUGAUCUGAAAUGUUGCCCCAAUUCUUCGUGUGCAAUCACGUGACAAAACUGUAUAACGUAUGCGUGCGACGCCAUGUUGGAUGAUAUACAAAUCAAAAAUGUCGUCUAAAGCGAACAACUACAACAAUACAAGUCCGACUUCUUCAAAGUAUUCUGACUCUCUGGAGUCCUCUGUAAAGGCAAGAUUCAGAGAAAAAGUCCAAAUUUGCGGUCUUGACCCGUACACGCUAAAGCCGUCUGAUUAUAUUGAGGAUUUAGAUUCAUUACCGCCGAUUGAAUAUCCUGAUAUUGUGAACUAUCUUGUGCUACAAACGUCAUGGGCAACCAACGCACAAAUGAAGGCAUACACGAGCCUAGAUGCUUAUAAUUUCUUUGUUUCUGGCUGGGUUGGUAGUCUUCUUACCAAACCACUGAAAGAUGACAGGGUGCUCGUCCAUGCCCGUGUAAAUCACUCUCAAAGAGCUCGAGAUACACCGCUCAAGCCGUGGUUUGUGAGUGAGAAGAGCGGCGAUGUUAUCCUCGCUAACGUAAACGUAAACAUAGCUUUAGCAUGAACUCUUACCAGAUAUAAAGUGGUCGCCACACACAUGGGUGAAUUGUGCUUUUUCUUCUGUUAAAUCCUUACGAGUUAUGUUGCUAAACCACAGCUUACGGCGUUCGGUAGACAGUAAUUCAUCCCUCUUUUGUGGAUCGUUGUUUUUGAUGAUUUUAGGAAAUCUAAAGAACCGUUUCUCUGGGUCACGGGUAGCGUUAUGACCACAAUUAUACACUGCGCACAAGGUUGGCAUUUUCUUUCAAUCUUAGACGUUUAAAUACAAAGAAAAUUACGAAGCGUUGCAACAACUCACACGUGAACGGUCGCCGUCUUGGUUGUGUAUAUCAUCCAACAUGGCUGAAUUCCUGAAUUGAAUUGAAAUGAACUGAAUUGAAAACUUGCCACAAGUGCAGUUCAGAUAAAAACAACUGAUGUAAAAGUUAGUGCUGUGCUUUGGUGGUCACCAGCAGGUACUGGAAGACUUUCACUGAGUCUCUUUGCAUCAUCAUAUUAAAAUUAAUUCUUAUAUCUGGGUCUUCCUCUUCCCCUCUGUUUCUUCUGAAACAGUCUGACAGCUUUCACAUGCAGAUUUCCUGUUGUGUUCACAUCAGGGUUUCCCUCCUGCUGCUGACUCUCCUGCUGUGUAUUAGCAUGAGACCAGACUGCUUUGUGAUGCUGCACAGAUUACAAAAUACCCAUUUCCACCUCUGAUUGUGCCUCUGUGGGUCAAAGCAGAGACAGAUUAACCCGGGCUGAAUGGGGGGGAG